rnacentral:tRNA from 1 species
AGAGUAUCGCUUAGCAGUGGAGUGUGUGCUUAGCAUGCACAAGGUCCUGGGUUCAAUUCCCAGUACCUCUG